rnacentral:rRNA from 1 species
CCUACGGGUGGCAGCAGUGAGGAAUAUUGGUCAAUGGGCGCGAGCCUGAACCAGCCAAGUAGCGUGAAGGAUGACUGCCCUAUGGGUUGUAAACUUCUUUUAUAUGGGAAUAAAAUGUUCCACGUGUGGGAUUUUGUAUGUACCAUAUGAAUAAGAAUCGGCUAACUCCGUGCCAGCAGCCGCGGUAAUACGGAGGAUCCGAGCGUUAUCCGGAUUUAUUGGGUUUAAAGGGAGCGUAGGUGGAUUGUUAAGUCAGUUGUGAAAGUUUGCGGCUCAACCGUAAAAUUGCAGUUGAAACUGGCAGUCUUGAGUACAGUAGAGGUGGGCGGAAUUCGUGGUGUAGCGGUGAAAUGCGUAGAUAUUACGAAGAACUCCGAUUGCGAAGGCAGCUUACUGGACUGCAACUGACACUGAGGCGCGAAAGUGUGGGUAUCAAACAGGAUUAGAUACCCCAGUAGUC